GUCUGUGCGCAGCGGCGGUAUCGUAACCAAUGAGAUUUAUCCGAGGUGCGGUUAUUGCUAGUUGAAAACUUACAUCAAUACUCCGCCAGGAGGACUUGUAAUAUAGUUUACCUGGCAAUUUUGGAAGGCCCUACGGGGG